rnacentral:lncRNA from 1 species
UUUGGUGCUCACAAGGAAUCGACCGGAGAAAGCGUGAGUUGUUCGGUCAACACAGAGGCUGCUCACGGCUCCGGUCUGCGGUGGAACAACUCUGUUCUGAGUCGCACAAGACUCUAGAAUUAGGAAACCCAGUUCGGUGAGCUUCACUAAUCUAGGGAGAUUACCGAACAAGGUUCACCUGGGCAACAAACUUCUUGAGAUACUCUGACCACGGGGAGGUGGAAGGAUGGUUGUUGUGGCACCAGAGUACCAGACAAUGGAAUGGCACUUGAUGAACUGAACAAAGCCGACGCAGAGGCUAAGGAGAUGAACUCAGGCUUGCACACACCACCACAGAGAUGCC